rnacentral:tRNA from 1 species
GCAGGGGUAGCCAAGUCAGGUCAACGGCGACAGACUCAAGAUCUGUUCUUGUAGAAGUUCGCCGGUUCGAAUCCGGCCCCCUGCACCA